rnacentral:rRNA from 1 species
ACCAGCUCUUCAAGUGGUCGGGAUGAUUAUUGGGCUUAAAGUGUCCGUAGCCGGUUUAGUAAGUUCCUGGUAAAAUCAGGUAGCUUAACUAUCUGUAUGCUAGGAAUACUACUAUACUAGAGGGCGGGAGAGGUCUGAGGUACUACAGGGGUAGGGGUGAAAUCUUAUAAUCCUUGUAGGACCACCAGUGGCGAAGGCGUCAGACUGGAACGUGCCUGACGGUGAGGGACGAAAGCCAGGGGAGCGAACCGGAUUAGAUACCCGGGUAGUCCUGGCUGUAAACGAUGCAUACUAGGUGAUGGCCCGGCCAUGAGCCGUGUCAGUGCCGUAGGGAAACCGUUAAGUGUGCCGCCUGGGAAGUACGGUCGCAAGGCUAAAACUUAAAGGAAUUGGCGGGGGAGCACCACAAGGGGUGAAGGCCUGCGGUUC